UACGUAGGGGGCAAGCGUUGUCCGGAUUUAUUGGGCGUAAAGAGCGUGUAGGCGGCCAAGCAGGUCAGCUGUGAAAACUCGAGGCUCAACCUCGAGACGUCGGUUGAAACCGCUUGGCUAGAGUCCGGAAGAGGAGAGUGGAAUUCCCGGUGUAGCGGUGAAAUGCGCAGAUAUCGGGAAGAACACCCGUGGCGAAGGCGGCUACCUGGACCAGCACUGACACUGAGGCACGAAAGCGUGGGGAGCAAACAGG
rnacentral:rRNA from 1 species